rnacentral:rRNA from 1 species
UCUUGAUAUAUUUUAUUAUUAUAUUUAUAAAGGAUAAUUUAAAUUUAAUAAUAUAUUAUAUUUUAUUGGGGUGAUAAUAAGAUUUAAUAAACUCUUAUAUUUUAUAACGUUAAUUAACGAUUGUUUGAUCCAUUAAUAAUGAUUAUUAGAUUAAGU